GUCAACUUCCAGCGGACGGACACGGAGGAAAGGGCCUGACAACCACCAGUUGAGUCCAUGAUUCAGGGAAGAGACAGUCUGGGCAGCAGCAACAAGACAACUAUUACAAGUAGAGAUGGGUUUCAAGAACUGGUACUAAUUUGGUUCCUGACUUGUUCAGUACUGAAAACAUUUACAUAAGGUACAGGAUCAAUAGUGCUGCUAUCAGUAUUCUUGUAACAUUGAUUCAUUACCCUUUAGACACAACCACAUAUCCUCCAAAUCAUCUCUGCGUGGAUGGCAGCAAGGAUCCAGGAUCAAGAGUUCAUUCUUCAUGGAGACUGUUCCACAGGAAGCAGUUUCUCCUGGGUGAAAAACUAAACCUGGUUGUUUCAGCAUCACUCAGGCAAGACUAAAUACUUUUAAAUUGAUUUCAGUUGGAUAUGUGUUUCAGGUCAUCCUGACCAUUCUGCUGUUCUGGAUGUAAGGCCGUGCUGGAACUACAUUUCUCGUGGUUGAAAGAUUUGUGCAGCGGUAUCCAGACAUAUAACGCCCCAUCACACGGGGCGUCAACGCCUCUCGUUUACUUUUAAAUGAAGUGACAUCAAGCAUGGUGAAAUUAAUUCUAGAAAUUAAUUCUAAAUAGAAGUUGAAGACUUUUCAAGCGCCAAUGCAGCCGUCCUCCAGUCAGAACAUCUUAUGCAAAUACCCAAGCGCAGACGCAAGCCAAUCGAGUGCAUGCAAUACCAGAAAACUAAUGUGAUUGGCUGUCACUAUGAGAAGAGACAGUAAUUCUGAUCCGAUAUCAGUGUCGUUUUUUGCAAAAAAAUUUUUAA